GAAUUUUGUAACCAGCUGAAUAUAUCAUCUUGCUUUAUUACCGAAACAUCAGAUACCUUCUUCGUAGCAAUUUACAACCCCAGAGCACAAAGACGUACUCACUGGGUGAGGAUACCCAUAACACCAAUAAAGGCUUUUAAGGUGCUUGAUGCAAAGAACAACAAGAUACCUGUACAGAUUAUUCCGCUUUCACAUCAGACGAAACGGUUGCCAGAAAGAGAGACAUCCAUUGCAACGCAUGAACUCGUGUUCUUGGCCUCACUUCCAGCGCUUGGCUACAGCACUUACUUUGUACGACAGACGA
rnacentral:lncRNA from 1 species